rnacentral:rRNA from 1 species
GUUCGUAGCCGGAUAAGCAAGUUCUUUGUGAAAUCCAAUAACUUAAUUAUUGGACGUGCAGGGAAUACUACUUUUCUUGGGACCGGGAUGGGCCAAGGGUACUUUUGGGGUAGGGGUGAAAUCCAAUAAUCCCAAAGGGACCACCUGUGGCGAAGGCGCUUGGCUAAAACGGGUCCGACGGUGAGGAACGAAAGCUAGGGGAGCGAACGGGAUUAGAUACCCCGGUAGUCCUAGCUGUAAAUGAUGCAAAUUAGGUGUUGCACGCUCUUCGUGAGUAUGCAGUGCCGAAGGGAAGCCGUUAAAUUUGCCACCUGGGAAGUACGGUCGCAAGGCUGAAACUUAAAGGAAUUGACGGGGGAGCACAACAAGGGGUGGAGCUUGCGGUUUAAUUGGAUAAUACGCCGGAAAUCUCACCAGGAGCGACAACAGAAUGAAGGCCAGGUUGACGAUCUUGCCAGACUUGUUGAGAGGUGGUGCAUGGCCGCCGUCAGUUCGUGCCGUAAGGUGUUCUGUUAAGUCAGACAACGAACAAGACCCACGCCAUUAGUUGCUAGUCAUUCUUUCGAGAGUGAUGCACUCUAAUGGGACCGCUGGUGAUAAAUCAGAGGAAGGGGUGGGCAACGGUAGGUCAGUAUGCCCCGAAUCUCUUGGGCUACACGCGAGCUACAGUGACUGGAACAAUGAGCUGCGACGCCGAAAGGCGAAGCCAAUCCCUAAAUCCAGUCUAGGUUCGGAUCGAGGGCUGUAACUCGCCCUCGUGAAGCCGGAAUCCCUAGUAAUCGAAGUUCAUUAGGCUUCGGUGAAUAUGUCCCUGCUCCUUGUACACACCGCCCGUCAAAUCACCUGAGUUGGGCCUGGAUGAGGCAUUAUCUUUUGGUAGUGUCGAAUCUGAGCUCAGCAAGGGGGGUUAAGUCGUAACAAGGUAUCCGUAGGGGAACCUGUGGAUAG